rnacentral:rRNA from 1 species
UACGUAGGGGGCAAGCGUUGUCCGGAAUCAUUGGGCGUAAAGAGCGCGUAGGCGGCCCUGUAAGUCCGCUGUGAAAGUCAAGGGCUCAACCCUUGAAUGCCGGUGGAUACUGCAGGGCUAGAGUCCGGAAGAGGCGAGUGGAAUUCCUGGUGUAGCGGUGAAAUGCGCAGAUAUCAGGAGGAACACCGAUGGCGAAGGCAGGUCUCGUGGGCCACUGACUGACGCUGAGAAGCGAAAGCAUGGGGAGCGAACAGG